AGCUGCAGUCAACAUGCCUGGCAGGAAGACAGCGCUGCACAAAGUCUGUGCAGGCUGCCCCUGGGAAAAUGAGGUCUGGCAAAAAAGACUACUUCCUAUAGCAGAGGAAACAUUCAUCCACCUGCAGCCUUCAAUAAGGAGAAGAAUGGCUUCAGCAGCUAUGAAAGCUCUGAUGAAAAGUUUUCAAAAAGUACCCAAAACAGGAUGCAGAUCUUGCC